AAGACAGCCAUGCCAAAAGUAUUUCAGUGAAUGAACGGCUUUGCCUCAUGGCAGGCGGCCAUGGUCUGUCGUAGGGCAGAGACAAUCCCUUUAAAAUCUUGAGUUCGUUCAGUGCAGGACGGCCUCAGAAUUCCCACAUUGUAAUGUAAUUGGUGAAAUCGACUGCAGAAAUCCACCAGCAAAUACGCAGAGCUCCAGGCCUCACAGCAAAGACAUGUUAAUGGGAAUCUUUACAGCUGACUAUAUAAUGGAACCACCGGCACUUGUGUGCCGCCAUAUAAUCCUUCCCCAAUAACUCCAGGAGAAAAUAUCUACAGUAUCUCGGCAUAAUAUUAAGAAUACAAUUAUUAAAAUUUUGAAUUAAGAGCAGCCAGCACUGUCAGCUCUUAGGAGUGAUGGAGAAAGUGGUCAGGUGUUAUGCUUGCCCAAGGAAAUGACCCCUCCUUCUCAGUGAACUGCAAAGAUGAAAACCAGGACAGGAUCAGCACCUGUUAAAUAGUCUGCACCAAAUAACGUAUUCGAGUAAAUUUGCCAGUGGGAGAAAUAUUGUUGCGUCUGCGUGUGGUGUCAAAAUUUGCAAGAAAUCUACAACUAAAUAUUGUUUCAGAUCCUGCUAUGCAAUAAAAAAAUAAAAAA